UAUUUGUAUCCGUAUUGAGGUUGUGCGUUCGCGUUUUGCGACCCACAUUAAAAGGGAAUUAGGUGUAAUACCUAAGCUGUACCCGCAACUGUAAGCUAUAAAGCCUGUUGUUAUUCUUCAUGCCACUGUCUGCACAAGCGGAUGGGAAGGUGGAUAACAGGACGCAAGCCAGGAGACCUGCCUAUUACAAUGAGUAACA
rnacentral:ncRNA from 2 species